rnacentral:rRNA from 1 species
CCUACGGGAUGCAGCAGUGAGGAAUAUUGGUCAAUGGGCGGAAGCCUGAACCAGCCAAGUAGCGUGCAGGAUGACGGCCCUACGGGUUGUAAACUGCUUUUAUGCGGGACUAACGCGCCUUACGUGUAGGGCUUUGCAUGUACCGUAUGAAUAAGGACCGGCUAAUUCCGUGCCAGCAGCCGCGGUAAUACGGAAGGUCCGGGCGUUAUCCGGAUUUAUUGGGUUUAAAGGGAGCGUAGGCCGCAUGUCAAGCGUGCUGUGAAAUUGUCGGGCUCAACCCGGGCAUUGCAGCGCGAACUGGCGUGCUUGAGUCCGCGGAAGGCAGGCGGAAUUCGUGGUGUAGCGGUGAAAUGCUUAGAUAUGACGAAGAACCCCGAUUGCGAAGGCAGCUUGCUGCAGCGGAACUGACGCUGAUGCUCGAAAGCGCGGGUAUCGAACAGGAUUAGAUACCCUAGUAGUC